UCAAGGUAUUUAGUUUUUACUUAACUUAAAAGUAAUACAAUACAAACAUUGUAAACAUCACGGUUAAAGAACCCAAUUAAGCACUAUUUCACGUUCAUAAUAAUAUAGUUAAAUAAAAAAUACAGAUUUUUUAAAUCAAGUUCAAUAAAAGAUUAUUUCGUAAAAAAUUUUUUAUUUUACUUUGAUAGGCUUGAAUUAACACAUACAGGGAAUAAUAAUGACUAGACGCUGAGCAGAUGACUUGCC